GCGAAAACUUUACAAUGCUGGCAACAGCGAUAAGGGAACCUCGAGUGCCAGGUUAUAAAUCUGGCUGUCGAGAUGCCUAAAAAGCAUUUCAUAGCAAGGGCCGGGCAAGACCGGUGCCAGCCGCCGCGGUAACACCGGCGGCUCGAGUGGUAACCGUUAUUAUUGGGUCUAAAGGGUCUGUAGCCGGCCGGAUAAGUCUCUUGGGAAAUCCAGCAGCUUAACUGUUGGGCUUUCAGGAGAUACUGUCUGGCUCGAGGCCGGGAGAGGUGAGAGGUACUUCAGGGGUAGGGGUGAAAUCUUGUAAUCCUUGAAGGACCACCAGUGGCGAAGGCGUCUCACCAGAACGGACCUGACGGCAAGGGACGAAAGCUAGGGGCACGAACA
rnacentral:rRNA from 1 species